UACGGAGGGUGCGAGCGUUGUCCGGAAUCAUUGGGCGUAAAGGGCGCGUAGGUGGCUUCUCAAGCGUGCGGUGAAAGCCUGGGGCUCAACCCCGGGUCGGCCGUGCGAACUGGGGGGCUUGAGCACUGUAGAGGCAGGCGGAAUUCCGGGUGUAGCGGUGGAAUGCGUAGAGAUCCGGAAGAACACCGGUGGCGAAGGCGGCCUGCUGGGCAGUUUUGCUGACACUGAGGCGCGACAGCGUGGGGAGCAAACAGG
rnacentral:rRNA from 1 species